rnacentral:lncRNA from 1 species
UUGAAUUUAAUGGAUUUGAUUGGAUGUGUCUUUUUAAGGUGAUAGGCGUCAUUGUAGUUGUUUGUGCGUUAGCUCUGCUGAUCAUAUUGGUCUUUACAAGGACUAGAAAGAAGGAAGAUCCAAUGAAAAUAAGUGAAGAAGAUUGCAUACGCCACAACCCUGUAAGGAUUUGCAUACGCAUUGGGGCGGAUGAGUAUGACGAGAAGGUGGUC